GAAAGAAGAGCAGCUGACUCAAGUAUGUGACCUCUUGGAGAGGGGACAGCAGCAAAUGAGGAGGAUGAGGUCUCAUCAUGCACUGAAAGGGUGUGGUGUACAGAAGGUCCAAGAUGUCUGAAAAGAGGAAAAGAGUGAGCAUUUCGUUCUCGCACUCUUCGAAGGGCAAAUCAGAGGCUUCCAUAGACCUCAAUUCGAUAGAUAUUCAAUGGAAAUCAAUAAGGAAAGCGAUAUCACUGACUAAUAUGUGCGAGAGCAAGGCAACUUUGUCACCUUCUCAAACUUCUUCGGACCAUAGAGACACAAAGUCGGACUGCUUCUGGUCACAAGUGGUCCAGAGGACACAUCAGUUCUGAUGAAAUAUGCCAAGAGUAUUGUUGGAGGAGAUUGCAGUGCUUCAAGAAAAAUUUACUUAGGUUGUCACCUCAUCAGACGAGGAGAAGCCUAUUCAAGAUGGAAAUCGGCAUGCUCUAAUAAGUAAACUUCUCAACUAUGGCUUCCCUUCAAACUUUGUUCAACGGGAGUUGAGGCCUAAAUGGGGCUUGGAGACUGACCUUGGAGUCGUGCCACUCUCAGAGGGGGUUCUCCUUUUUAACCUCUCUUUCGACAAGAUGCAGAAACGGAUUUUGUCCAAAGAGUCGUGUUUCUUGGCUAACCAACUACUAGCCCUAAAAUCCUAGAGACCUAACUUUAAGCUAAGGAAGGAUGUGGUCCGAUAUGUGAUGGUAUCGUAUAUGCAGGCUGG
rnacentral:lncRNA from 1 species